GGGAAUGUGGCUUAGUGGUAGAGUGUUUGCCUAGCGUGCAUGAAGUCCGGGUUCGAUUCCUCAGUACCA
rnacentral:tRNA from 1 species